rnacentral:rRNA from 1 species
UUGCUCUGGUGGAUUAGUGGCGAACGGGUGAGUAACACGUGAGCAACCUGCCCCUGACUCUGGGAUAAUCGCUGGAAACGGCGUCUAAUACUGGAUAUGUCCCAUCACCGCAUGGUGUGUGGGUGGAAAGAUUUAUCGGUUGGGGAUGGGCUCGCGGCCUAUCAGCUUGUUGGUGAGGUAAUGGCUCACCAAGGCGUCGACGGGUAGCCGGCCUGAGAGGGUGACCGGCCACACUGGGACUGAGACACGGCCCAGACUCCUACGGGAGGCAGCAGUGGGGAAUAUUGCACAAUGGGCGAAAGCCUGAUGCGCAACGCCGCGUGAGGGAUGACGGCCUUCGGGUUGUAAACCUCUUUUAGCAGGGAAGAAGCGAAAGUGACGGUACCUGCAGAAAAAGCACCGGCUAACUACGUGCCAGCAGCCGCGGUAAUACGUAGGGUGCAAGCGUUAUCCGGAAUUAUUGGGCGUAAAAAGCUCGUAGGCGGUCUGUCGCGUCUGCUGUGAAAUCCCGAGGCUCAACCUCGGGCUUGCAGUGGUUACGGGCAGACUACAGUGCGGUAGGGGAGAUUGAAAUUCCUGGUGUAGCGAUGGAAUGCUCAGAUAUCAAGAGGAACACCGAUGGCGAAGGCAGAUCUCUGGGCCGUAACUGACGCUGAGGAGCAAAAGGGUGG